AGUGAACGCUGGCGGUAGGCCUAACACAUGCAAGUCGAACGGCAGCACAGUAAGAGCUUGCUCUUACGGGUGGCGAGUGGCGGACGGGUGAGGAAUACAUCGGAAUCUACUUUUUCGUGGGGGAUAACGUAGGGAAACUUACGCUAAUACCGCAUACGACCUACGGGUGAAAGCAGGGAAUCUUCGACCUUUCCGCAAUGAAUUAGGCGAUGUCGGAUUAGCUAGUUGGCGGGGUAAAGGCCCACCAAGGCGACGAUCCGUAGCUGGUCUGAGAGGAUGAUCAGCCACACUGGAACUGAGACACGGUCCAGACUCCUACGGGAGGCAGCAGUGGGGAAUAUUGGACAAUGGGCGCAAGCCUGAUCCAGCCAUACCGCGUGGGUGAAGAAGGCCUUCGGGUUGUAAAGCCCUUUUGUUGGGAAAGAAAAGCAGCAGGUUAAUACCCCGCUGUUCUGACGGUACCCAAAGAAUAAGCACCGGCUAACUUCGUG
rnacentral:rRNA from 1 species